rnacentral:rRNA from 1 species
AGUGGAAGCGUCUGGAAAGGCGCGCGAUACAGGGUGACAGCCCCGUACACAAAAGCGCAUGUGCUGUGAGCUCGAUGAGUAGGGCGGGACACGUGGUAUCCUGUCUGAAUAUGGGGGGACCAUCCUCCAAGGCUAAAUACUCCUGACUGACCGAUAGUGAACCAGUACCGUGAGGGAAAGGCGAAAAGAACCCCGGCGAGGGGAGUGAAAAAGAACCUGAAACCGUGUACGUACAAGCAGUGGGAGCCCCACCACUAAGCCAGUGGUGAACUCCACAUACGCAUCCUUUGCUGAGGAUAAGGUUAACGGAGCGAAAGCGACGUUCAACCGCAAAAGAAGCAGAGGGGGCUUAGUGGUGGGGUGACUGCGUACCUUUUGUAUAAUGGGUCAGCGACUUAUAUUCUGUAGCAAGGUUAACCGUAUAGGGGAGCCGCAGGGAAACCGAGUCUUAACCGGGCGUUAAGUUGCAGGGUAUAGACCCGAAACCCGGUGAUCUAGCCAUGGGCAGGUUGAAGGUUGGGUAACACUAACUGGAGGACCGAACCGACUAAUGUUGAAAAAUUAGCGGAUGACCUGUGGCUGGGGGUGAAAGGCCAAUCAAACCGGGAGAUAGCUGGUUCUCCCCGAAAGCUAUUUAGGUAGCGCCUCGUGAAUUCAUCUCCGGGGGUAGAGCACUGUUUCGGCUAGGGGGCCAUCCCGGCUUACCAACCCGAUGCAAACUGCGAAUACCGGAGAAUGUUAUCACGGG